CCUCCUUACCUAUACGACUAACUCAAUACCUAAAAGUGCAGAGAUGCAUGUGAGUGUUCACACAGAUUACUUGAUAGAAGAAAGAGAAAGAUAUCGAAAGGUAUUUUUGAGGAUUUUGAUUCUUAAUCAAGGCACUUGAUGAGUUUCGCAGGGAGUGUGCUUUUAGCACAUGACUGAGAAACGAAGAAAGUAACGCCGAGUAAGGGUUAAAAGACCAAAAAGAAUGGGUCUGUAGCUCAGCUGGUUAGAGCGCACCCCUGAUAAGGGUGAGGUCGGUGGUUCAAGUCCACUCUGACCCACCAAAUCUUCAUUUUAUCUGCGUUAAUUAAAUACUCGUUUAAUGAACUAAACGUCCCAUUGAAUUAACUUGUUAAAAUUCGAUUUGGCUUCCCCAAUCUUAUGAUUGGUUACUUGAUAUUUAUCUCACUGC
rnacentral:misc_RNA from 1 species